UGAUCUUUGUGUUUUUCAUGUUUCAGGGGCCUUAUUUGAGCUUGAGGUGAGCAUAGCCUUGUUUAGGUGAGACAACACCUUUAGGGAACCAGCCAGGUCCACCAUUGGAGCUGGUCCCAUAUGUGGGUGGUGUACAGAUGUAAGCCAUAGAAUUAUUCAGUUGUUAUCUUCCCGCGUAGAGUUUAGUUUAACUCUGUCACCCAACCAUUUAAAAAUAGUUGUAAAACGACAGUGGAGCCGCUACAUUAUAGUGUCAAUGAUGCAGACGCUCCAGCGCCAAAUGCAAAUGUUCCUCCCAGUUGUCAAGGCCAGAAGUGUCGAACCGCUGUAAUUUAUAAGCAUUAUUAUUGCUAUCAUAUUUUUUAAUGGCCAUCAGAUGGCCUAUGAAUACAGACCCAGAGAAACCUUGCAGCUUCUAUUGUCACACAUCAUGAUGAUGAUGGCGACUGAGACGGUGGUACGUUCAGAUGAUGAUGAUGGCGACUGAGACGGUGGUACGUUCAGAUGAUGAUGAUGAUGAUGGCGACUGAGACGGUGGUACGUUCAGAUGAUGAUGAUGAUGAUGGCGACUGAGACGGUGGUACGUUCAGAUGAUGAUGAUGAUGAGACGGUGGUACGUUCAGAUGCAGAUCUGUGUGUCUGUAGUCUCCAGUCUCCUAGUUUAACUCUACAUCAUGGUCAGACCAGAAGUCAGCGGGUGAUUUUAUUACUAUGACGCCAGUCGGUCUUCAGAUGGGUUUUAAGCAACUCUACUUCUGCGAGGCUGGUGUUUAGAUGCUCUCUUGGUUAUUCUGGUUUUGCGUGUGGUGCUGGCUCAGAGUAUUUCCUGUCCAUCUUCUCUCUGUGAGGUUUUGUGGAGGUUGAGAUCAGAUGCUCAUGGACGUCAGUCUGCGCCGUCCGUGUGAUUUGUACAAGAGCCUGCAGCCACUUAUCCAACAGGCCUCCCUGUGCCUACGCACAAACGUAGGAGAGCACAUGCGUACGUGUGCACACAUGCACAAGCACAUAUAGGCAUGAGCGCACACAUAUUUGCAGAUUGACUGACUGACUGACAUUGACUGACUGAUUGAUUGUGAAUGAUUGAUUGAAAGGGGCUUUCUUAAUGAUGUGUGUCUUUGUGCGGUGGGCUUAACACAAACCUCUCGCCAGCUCCCAGCAGGGCUGCGGUUCAGAGGCUGGGGCUUUGUGUUCUGUGAAGGUGUCCUUAAUUUGAGAACAGAGAGACAUUAACAUAAGGCUUAUUUCAUUGUUUCCUUGGCAACCAUGUUCUCUGUCACAAGAUGUCCGUUUUGGUUGACUUGGGUGGCUGACAUGUGAGUGUUAGCGUGCCGUGACGCGGGGGAGAUUAGCGGUGUCUCAUCGUGGAUGACUUCAUCUUCUGUCUGACUGUGCUGUGCUAGAGAUCAGGAAACCUCAGGUGGAGAGGAAGUUUUGUUUUUAACAACCAAAUGUAGUAUUAUUUAGAUUUCACAUGUUUUUGAGAAACUUACCCCAAUCAGUGAUUCACUUCCUCAUCCUCGUAAGGGGGCUCUGAAUAAACAUGAACAAAUUCUCCAAAAACACCCAUAUACGUUCUUUUAGGAACGGCAAAGCUCUCAGUAUAUAACCUCUAAAGACCUGCAUCACUAUUUUGAGAGCUUAUCCGUUUCCGCAAACUGGACCCUUCUAUAACAUGUCAUUUACAUCAAAAAUAGAGAUUUGGUUGCAAAAAAGCUAAAUUCUCCUUUAACACUGUUACUCCAGCACUCUAAUGGGACAUGCUGAAAAGCCUGUAAUUGUGGAGUACAGCAUAAUGGAUCUGGUCAUCAGGCUAGGCCUUCCUGAGCACACUGUAGCUGUGGUGUUCAGCUGGGACACUGUUCUUCAUGUCUUACAACACCCUGUUCUGAGAAGGAACAUUAUGGAACACUUCAUUCUAAAGGUUCAAGAACAUUAAGAUACUUGUUUUUGGAAGUUCUAGAUUAGAGAAAUUGACUCCUCUAAUCCAAAGUGUUCCAGACUUGAGAAUUGGAACCGCUAAUGACAGAUGUUCUAGAACACUCUGACAUCCCCUGCAAUGCUCGGGAACCUUCCCUGUUGAUCAGGGAUGUGUUGUGGAGUUGUUGGAUUCAUAUCGGAAUGUCCUGAACCAUCGGCGAUUAUUAAAGGAUGUGCUGAGCCAGCAGCUGUGCCCCUCUCCUCUCAGAGGACAAGCUCGCAGUCAAGUCUCCCAACAGCAACACACAUUCACCCCCCUCUGCUACUGUGCUCUCCUCUUCUCUACAGCAACACAGCACACAGAUUUACAGUUUAUGGGCGCCUUGGCUCGCCAUCAUAUUCACACUCUACUGUGUCUGAUGUUUGUUUGAAGCUGGGCGGCGGCCAUAGCGUACAUUACAAAGCUUUGAAGUGCAAAUGGCGGUCUGCUCCGCUGCACCCUAUGGAGGGCCAGUGUAGAAUAACCACGGUGUGAGAGGAAUACGCAGCCAGGGGACCAUGUGUUGAUAGUCGUUUCCUUGUGUGGGGAUAGACUGGUGCCCGCAACCCAGUGUGAUGCAGGGUCAAGUUCAAACCAGACGCCAACACUGGUGGUCAGAACCUCCCUAGUCAGCCAGGCAGCAGAGUAGAGCUGGAGGAGGAGUCAGGGCUCUGAGGGCUGACCUGACUAAGUCGCCUAAAAGCGUUUUCUAAAUGGCAUAUAAUUGUUCUAUUAUAUUACCUCCAGAAUCAAUGCAAUGAACAAACUUGAAAGGGAGAAGCAGAGUAGCAGUAAACAUUCAUCAAUAUCAAAUCAAGUUUAAUGGGGCAACCCUCAGUUCUAACAAAGCACCUCCCCGCCAUUGUUUUGGUAAAAGGCUGAGGGAUUGGGCAUUGUAACCACUCUCAAAUUCAUAGGCAAUGUAACCACUCUCAAAUUCAUAGGCAAUGUAACCACUCUCAAAUUCAUAGGCAAUGUAACCACUCUCAAGUUCAUAGGCAAUGUAACCACUCUCAAGUUCAUAGGCAAAGCUAUGGAUGCAAGUACUGACCUCGCAUCCAUGAUAUCAACACUCUAGCUCUAACUAUGUUUUAAGGCUAUACAGUGUUUGUUUACGUUUACUUUGUUUACAAACAUUGGAGUAAAACAAGCUAAUAGUUUGGAGUUGAACUAAGCCCAUGAGGGAUUUAGAAGUUAGAUUCUUCAAGAAUCAAUGCGUACAUUGAAUGAAUACAUCUAUUGAUGCUCAUGGACACAUCAGUGAUGCAACCUGAGGUCAUUUGGUGUUUGGGGUCUUUCAACGUGGAUUUAUAAGGCCCUUUAACUGGAGAUAUUGAUUUUGUCUUAACUUUUACAUUUUUUUAACUUGUUGUCUCCCCCUGUCAGUUUUGGAGGUGUGCUGCUGUCCUCAUUGGUGCUGAUGUAUUUAUUCAGGCUGGUCUCCUUCAACCUCCGUCUCUGACACCCCCCUUUGACACUUUAUUUUUACCCCGCCCCACACCAUCAGCCACCAGCUGGCAGAGUGUGGCUUCUAAUGCGCUCAAACCCUGGUGUUACUUAACACGUUUACCUCGUGUUCACCAUACAUUUACCUCACAGGAGGUUGGUGGCAUCUUAAAUGGGGAGGACUGGCUCAUGGUAAUGGCUGGAGCGGAAUCAGGGAAUUGGUAUCAAAUACAUCUAGCACAUGUUUCC
rnacentral:lncRNA from 1 species